rnacentral:lncRNA from 1 species
AUGCAUGUGGGAGAAAGAGAACUUGGGGUGAAAACACUGCGCCCAGUGGGUCCUUUCAUCCCAUCCCACAGAUGUUUAGUGAGUGCUUGGUAUACGCCAGACCCCAUUACAGACACAGGAGACCCAGGUGUAAGCAGGCACCCUCUCUGCCUUUGUGGAGCUGAGAGUCUAGUAUGCAAGAUGCUAGAGUCUAGCAUGCUUUCAAAAAAGAAAUCCAACAGAUGAAUGUAACAAUCAGAAAAGUGAUGAGCUGUAUGAAAGGUCUGGAGAAUAAGACAUGGGUGGCUGCUUUAGCUAGGGUGAUAAGAAGGCCGGUCUGAGGAGGUAUCAUCUCAGCUGAGGCCUGAAAGAGCAGGGCUGGUGCAGUUAGAGAAGAGGUAGAAGAAGAGGCAGCGCCCUCCAGGCCAGCAGGAGAUAAGAGUGCAGUGGGAGUGGGGGAACACUGCAGGCUCUAAGCAGGAAACAGAUACUUUCCAAUUUAUGCUUUAAGACAAAAACUCUGGCUGACUGUGAGGAGAAUGGCUUGCAGCGACCUGGUUAGGAGGACACUGCUGUCAUCCAGGCAGGAGCAGGUGGUGGUCGUGGAGGUGGAGAGAAGGAGCAUGGUUUGAAAUAUAUUUUAGAGGUAGAACUGAAAUGUGCUCAUAACAUUGUUCCCACCACCACCAAAGAAGCAGUUACAGAGACAGCAGCAGGACUUAGACCUCCAGCAGAUGCCUUACUGGCUGAGCAUAAAACCAGAGGAAGAGGAACCAUGACUUCCACCGUGUGUGCCAGUGGGAAGGCCAGACAGACACAAAGAGAUGCUCUGUCUUAGAAGCAGUGGCUCCUAAGCUGCUCUCCAGGUACACACAACUCUGAAAGGUGAAUGUGAGAGUGAGAUUCUCUCAAGUGCUUUUGAAUGAAUCCGAAUUUAGGGUCAUGAUCCAAACAAGAACAAGAGAUGUUCUGUGGAGAGCCCAGCACAACCCCCACCCUGGGCGCUCGCAGUCAGACAGGCAGCAUGGUGACUGAGGUGUCCUGGGACAUGGCCCCUUGCCAAGUGGCGAGCAGACUCGCAGAGCUGGGGAGAGGAGAUGGCCAAAGGGACAACACAGCUGCCCAAGAACAGCAGCACAGGGCACAGAUACACCGGGGCUCAGAAGGAGAAGGGAAUGCAAGUCAGGGGAGGCUGGGGUCCUCUCAGUGUCCAUGGCCAUAGACUAAUAGCCAGGAUGGGUCUGCUAGGAGUGGAGUAAAACUAUGGGUGGACUUUGAAUCCUUAGUGCUCUAUUUCAUUUUACUAGACAUUUCCUUUUAAAGAAAACUAGUAGCAUCCUAAUAACUUUUCUACUAGCUUCCUAAUCUUACGCCUUUGUUUAUUUAUUUAGUAUAUGGUUAUUGACACAAUGUUCUAGUCCAGGGCUUCUCCAACUCCAGCGUGCUCUUAAGUCACCCAGGCAUCUGACUAAAAUGCAGAAUCUGGCUCAGAAGGCCUGUGGUCUGGCCUGAAAUUCUUCUUUUUUUUAUUAGUUCUCCAGGGAUAUUGAUGCUGCUGAUCCUUGAAAGAUACUUUAAGUAGGGAGGCGCUAGCCCUAUCAGGUGUUCUUUUUACCUAUGCUUUGGUCCAUUUUUCACCCCACUUUGACUUUAAUGUAAAAUGAUGCAAACUAUUACAUGUGGAAUGGAUAAACAACAAGGAUCUAUUGUAGAGCACAGGGAACUAUAUUCAAAACCCUGUGAUAAGCCAUAAUGGAAAAGAAUAUUUUAAAAAAGAAUAUAUAGAUCCAUAUAUAUGUAUGCACAUUCAUAUAUUCAUAUUCAUAUACAUACAUUCUUAUAUUUAUGUAUAACUGAAUCACUUUGCUAUAUAGCAGAAAUUAAUACAUUGUAAAUUAACUAUAUUUCAAUUUGAAAAAGAAAGUAAAAUGAAUUAAGUCACUAUUUAUUAGAGUACCUACUAUAUACAAGACAAGAGGUUGAGAGUUGACAGAGAAAAAAAAUAAAAGCAAUACAAUGUUACCUUUAAGGAAAUUAUAAUCUGAUUGGGUGUAGAUAUGGGUACCAACACACUGCAAUUAUAAUGCAUUGCCCCACUUAAUCCUCACUACACCCUGAAAGAGGAAAUAUCUCUAUGUUACAGAGGAGGAAAACUAAGCUAGGACAAGUUAAGUCAAUUUUUCAAGCUCAUGCCACCAAUGAAAAGUUGGAUUUUUAUCUAAACUUGGAUCUGUCUGGUCCCAAAGUUCAAAUUCUUUCCAUUGAGCCACACUAAGAAUAUAGAUCAAAGUAUAAAUGCCACAAAUACUGGGCAUUAUGUGAUGCAUAUAGGCAAGAAGUAUAAGCAGCUUGCCAGAGAGUUCAGCAGGCGGUGGUAAGUGACAGAAAUAGGGAAUAUAGCAUAUUUACUAAAUUUGACUGGUUUACCAAAAAACAGAGGCAAUGAAGACUUCAUGUUGAAAACCUAUUUUUUAAUGUUGCAGAAAAGAGACCAGUUUCCCUGUUUGUUCAUAAAUUCUCCUUUUAUGGACUGUAGUUCCAAAGUCGAGGAAGCCACUUGCCCAACCAAAAGAGGCUGACAUCUCAUGGCUCCAGAUGCCAGCAGACAUUUGUCUGCAAACACCCAGAACGAGGGCUGCCCGUCCAGGAGCAAUCUUCUGUUACAUGUCUUCCUCACUCUGAACAGAGAGCAGAGCUCCGCCUGGAAACCCAAAACGUGAGCGUGCUUAUUACCCGGCAUUAUUUGGCUACUAAAUCUGCACCCUGACACAGAGAGGUUUUCUUCCAUUGUUAACAUCACUUUGCAGGGCCCCUGGCUCUAAGUUUUGCCCUCCCACUUCCCCACACAGAAGGCUCCCUCUUAGCUCCCGCCAGCUCCUGCCUGGACUGACCACUAACGAGGAGCCCCCGCGGCAGCAUGUCUGGGACUCAGAAAUGACUCCACUUUCUCUGCCGCUGAGUCAUUGUUAUUGGGGCUGGAUGGGAAGACCAAAGCCUAUGAGAGCAAGAGUCUUGGUGGCAAAGGCCACUCCCUACCCUGCCACACUCAGGGCUCCACCUGAGCCCAGCAUUCCUGGAUGGUGGCAAAAUGUUUCAUUUCUUACUUAAAACAGAAAAGACAAAGAGACCCAAGACAGUGUGUCAUUAAACACUGAAAUACCUGGAAGUGUCCCCCAUUCCCAGACCUACGAGAAGGUUUUAGCCACAUUCUCUAUUUACUCAGCACUAAUGCAGGCUUUCUAUUUCCUGCAUAGAUGCAGUAAACUGAAACAUAUUAAUUAAGGGAAGGAUCCCUGUAAACACUCCCAAACAGGCACCAUUUCCCGAACGCAGAGAGCAGCUUCCUCUCAGGAUCUGUUGCUAUUCCUGAGCCCAUUCACCUCUGGGGACAGAAACUACACCAGGUCACAUAUGCCAAGGGUGGUUUUGUGUGGGGUGCUACCACAUACCGGGUCACCCAUGGCCCCAGGUACAGGCCUCACAGAGCUAUUUUGUUACAAUCAUACACAUUCCCAGGCACCUAUAGCAUGUUCUGUCAUUAAGCAGACAUGAAAGGGACCUGAAAACACCAACAUUUCUUUUGCCAAACAUCAUGGAGACAGUUUCUAGAACCGCUGAAAUCCCAUUUAUUCCACCAGCUGCUGGUGACAGGGGCAGCAUUCAGUGUCCAAGGAUGACACUUUAAUACAAAUUGAGCCCCUUCCAUAACGAAACAAGCUGGGUUUUCAGGGUGAUUUGUUUAAAAGCCACAUCAUAAAUCAACUGUCAGUUCCUCUUUAUUCCAGGCCUAGUAGGCUCACCUUUACACUGAAUUAAUCGCAUCUGAAACUUGACCUCUCAGCCCCAGAGACUGUUGGAAACAACAUGUGCUCAACAACUUCCAGUCAAAGCAAGAACUUAAAUUGUUCCACAUUUUUAAUAAAUGGGCCAGAAACCCAUGGGGCGACUCCCAGUGACCUGGGUGCUCAGCAUAUUGAUCAAACAAAGAAAACAGAGACAGGCUUGCAACGACCAGAUUUGGGAGAACACUUAUUAACGCUGGCAGGCUAAGCCUGGACAACACCAACUCAUGUUCCUAAGUGCAACCAGAGAGUCUCCACCUAAGGAAAAGCCCAGAAACAUUACAUUAAUUGCCAAUAACAGCUCAGCUGGGUAGGGGGUGGGGCUGGGGUAAGUGGAAGUGAAGACUGGAGGGAGGAAAGGCACGCUCGACCACCUGCCCAAGAGAGAGGAGGGAGCCGAAGUUUUCUGCAAGGAGCUGGGCCUCUGGGACUCCUUCCCAUUUCUUGGUUUCUGAUCCUAAAAAGAGAAAAUUGAUUGCUGGGGAAAAGCGGCUUUGGAGCUCACUGGGAGAGGGCCUAGGAGCUGAUGCUCAAAGUUAGCCUUCAUGAGAAGCUCUCAUGGGCCAGGCGCAGGGCUAAACCACUGCAGAAGAUUAUGAAGAUAAGCUCCCUCCUUAACGAGUUCACCUUUAGCAGUGGGAGACAAACGUGAAAAUAGAUUUGAUGGUUUCAUAUGAUGGACAACUACCAUAGCCUUGGGCUAGGUUCAGGGAUAAAAUCAGAAACAAGAUAUACAGCCUACCCCCAGAUGCUCACAGUCCAGCAGGGGAGGCAGAUACAAAAGCAACCACUCAGUGUGAUAGAGACAAUGAGGAGGGGCCAUAGAGACCACCCAGAUGCGGGCACUCAGGAACAUCUUCCCAGAGGAGGGAGUGUUCAGCCAAUACCCAGGAUGAGCAGGAGCUCACCACAGAGGGCGGGAAGCAAGGAAGGGGCAGAGAGGAGGGACUUGCAUUGCUGUCGUGAUGGGCCUAGGACUCACGAAACCUCAGAUGAGAGGAGGCACAGCGCACUUGGGAAAGUAAGAGGAACGUGGUCAGGCUGAGCAGAAAAUGCAGGGGAAAGGGGAGGAAUAAAGCUGAGCAGCAGGCAGGCCUCUGUGUAGAGCACACAACAGGAGCUUAACAGAGGCAUCCAGGAAGGCUGUGGCGCACAGAGCAGGGAGCCAUGGAAUGUGCUGAGAAUGGCUCAAGAGGCCUUU